GGAUUGUAGCUCAGUGGUAGAGCACUUGCCUAGCAUAUGUGAGGUCCUGGGUUCGAUACCCAGCACCA
rnacentral:tRNA from 1 species